rnacentral:rRNA from 36 species
GGUUAAGCGACUAAGCGUACACGGUGGAUGCCCUGGCAGUCAGAGGCGAUGAAGGGCGUGCUAAUCUGCGAUAAGCGCCGGUAAGGUGAUAUGAACCGUUAUAACCGGCGAUACCCGAAUGGGGAAACCCAGUGUGACUCGUCACACUAUCAUUAACUGAAUCCAUAGGUUAAUGAGGCGAACCGGGGGAACUGAAACAUCUAAGUACCCCGAGGAAAAGAAAUCAACCGAGAUUCCCCCAGUAGCGGCGAGCGAACGGGGAGGA